rnacentral:rRNA from 1 species
UGAAUACGAGACGCUAAGGCGUCGAAGUAGUGUAUGUCAUACUUCCAAGAAAAGCUUGCACUGUCAUAGAUAAAAAACGCCUGUACCAUAACCGACACAGGUGGGUAGGUAGAGUAUACUAAGGGGCGCGAGAUAACUCUCUCUAAGGAACUCGGCAAAAUAACUCCGUAACUUCGGGAGAAGGAGUGCCUUAUUCGUAAGGUUGCAAUAACAAGAUCCAAGCAACUGUUUAUCAAAAACACAGGUCUCCGCUAAGUCGUAAGACGAUGUAUGGGGGCUGACGCCUGCCCAGUGCCAGAAGGUUAAAGAAGUUGGUUAGCAAUUGCGAAGCUGAUAACUGAAGCCCUGGUGAACGGCGGCCGUAACGAUAACGGUCCUAAGGUAGCGAAAUUCCUUGUCGGGUAAGUUCCGACCCGCACGAAAGGCGUAAUGAUUUGGAUACUGUCUCGGAGAGGGGCUCGGUGAAAUAGACUUGUCUGUGAAGAUGCGGACUACCUGCACCAGGACAGAAAGACCCUAUGAAGCUUUACUGUAACUUGAAAUUGAAAUUGGACUUUAUUCGCGCAGCAUAGGUGGGAGGCGUUGAUUAUAAUCUUGCGGGAUUAUUGGAGCCAUCAGUGAGAUACCACUCUUGUAAUGUUAGAUUUCUAACUUUGAAUCAUUAUCUGGUCAAAGAACAGUUUCAGGCGGGCAGUUUGACUGGGGCGGUCGCCUCCUAAACGGUAACGGAGGCGUACAAAGGUUUCCUCUGAACGGUUAGAAAUCGUAUCUAGAGUGUAAAGGCAUAAGGAAGCUUGACUGUGAGACCUACAAGUCGAGCAGGGACGAAAGUCGGUCUUAGUGAUCUGACGGUACUGAGUGGAAAGGCCGUCACUCAACGGAUAAAAGUUACUCUAGGAUAACAGGCUGAUCUCCCCCAAGAGUUCACAUCGACGGGGAGGUUUGGCACCUCGAUGUCGGCUCAUCGCAUCCUGGGGCGGUAGUACGUCCCAAGGGUUGGGCUGUUCGCCCAUGAAAGCGGUACGCGAGCUGGGUUCAGAACGUCGUGAGACAGUUCGGUCCAUAUCCGGUGUAGGCGUUAGAAUAUUGAGAGGAGCCUUCUUUAGUACGAGAGGACCGAGAAGGACAUACCUCUGGUGUACCAGUUAUCGUGCCAACGGUAAACGCUGGGUAGCUAUGUAUGGAGUGGAUAACCGCUGAAAGCAUCUAAGUGGGAAGCCCACCUCAAGAUAAGUA